rnacentral:tRNA from 1 species
GGCUGGAUGGUGUAGUUGGUUAUCACGUAUCGCUCACAUUCCUUGGUCUGCAAAGCGCAAGCUUAGUCAGCAUACCACAUGUGCCGAUAAGGUCCUGGGAUCGAACCCCAGUCUAGUCA